rnacentral:rRNA from 1 species
UUCGCAAUGCCCGAAAGGGUGACGAAGCGACGCCGCGUGCGGGAAGAAGGCCUUCGGGUUGUAAACCGCUGUCGGGAGUUAAGAAAUGCAAGGGUGUUAACAGCAUCCUUGCUUGACUAAGGCUCCGGAGGAAGCCACGGCUAACUCUGUGCCAGCAGCCGCGGUAAUACAGAGGCGGCAAGCGUUGUUCGGUAUUAUUGGGCGUAAAGAGCACGUAGGCGGCUAUGUAAGUCGGUUGUGAAAGCCUUCCGCUCAACGGGAGAACAGCAUCCGAUACUGCAUGGCUUGAGUGCGGGAGGGGAGAGUGGAACUUCUGGUGGAGCGGUGAAAUGCGUAGAUAUCAGAAGGAACGCCGGCGGCGAAAGCGGCUCUCUGGCCCAUAACUGACGCUGAGUGUGCGAAAGCUAGGGGAGCAAACGGGAUUAGAUACCCCGGUAGUCCUAGCCGUAAACGAUGGGCACUAAGUAGAGGGGUUUU